rnacentral:rRNA from 1 species
AGAGUUUGAUCAUGGCUCAGGACGAACGCUGGCGGCGUGCUUAACACAUGCAAGUCGAACGGAAAGGCCCUUCGGGGUACUCGAGUGGCGAACGGGUGAGUAACACGUGGGUGAUCUGCCCUGCACUCUGGGAUAAGCCUGGGAAACUGGGUCUAAUACCGGAUAGGACCGCAUGCUUCAUGGUGUGUGGUGCAAAGCUUUUGCGGUGUGGGAUGAGCCCGCGGCCUAUCAGCUUGUUGGUGGGGUAAUGGCCUACCAAGGCGACGACGGGUAGCCGGCCUGAGAGGGUGACCGGCCACACUGGGACUGAGAUACGGCCCAGACUCCUACGGGAGGCAGCAGUGGGGAAUAUUGCACAAUGGGCGCAAGCCUGAUGCAGCGACGCCGCGUGAGGGAUGACGGCCUUCGGGUUGUAAACCUCUUUCAGUAGGGACGAAGCGAAAGUGACGGUACCUACAGAAGAAGGACCGGCCAACUACGUGCCAGCAGCCGCGGUAAUACGUAGGGUCCGAGCGUUGUCCGGAAUUACUGGGCGUAAAGAGCUCGUAGGUGGUUUGUCGCGUUGUUCGUGAAAACUCACAGCUUAACUGUGGGCGUGCGGGCGAUACGGGCAGACUAGAGUACUGCAGGGGAGACUGGAAUUCCCGGUGUAGCGGUGGAAUGCGCAGAUAUCAGGAGGAACACCGGUGGCGAAGGCGGGUCUCUGGGCAGUAACUGACGCUGAGGAGCGAAAGCGUGGGUAGCGAACAGGAUUAGAUACCCCGGUAGUCCAA